GAUUAACGCGAAGAACCUUACCUGGGCUCGAACGGCUUCCUAACGGCCGGUGAAAGCCGGCUAUCCCGCAAGGGAGUGGAGUCGAGGUGCCGCAUGGCUGUCGUCAGCUCGUGUCGUGAGAUGUUGGGUUAAGUCCCGCAACGAGCGCAACCCUUGUCCUGUGUUGCAACGCCCUGAAAGGGGUGGCACUCUCAGGAGACCGCCAGCGAUAAGCUGGAGGAAGGUGGGGAUGACGUCAAGUCAUCAUGGCCUUUAUGUCCAGGGCUACACACGUGCUACAAUGGGCGGUACAAAGCGGCGCAAACCCGCGAGGGGGAGCAAAUCGCAAAAAACCGCUCUCAGUUCGGAUUGCAGGCUGCAACUCGCCUGCAUGAAGCUGGAAUCGCUAGUAAUGGCAGAUCAGCACGCUGCCGUGAAUACGUUCCCGGGCCUUGUACACACCGAAUCACUAGU
rnacentral:rRNA from 1 species